UGCGCUCCCACAACGUGUUCCGCAGGAACGUCGAGCCCACCGCCAGCAACAUGCGGUACAUGUGGUAAUUUUAAAAGAAGACCAUAUGAAGAGGGAGCACCAUGCAGUAAAUGUGGCAGGAGGGACUUCUGUGAUAGGAAACUGUGUAGAAAUGCAGAACGUGAUAAAAUUGUCUAUUACUCAAGAUGGCAUCCACCUUGGGAGUUCAGAAUUGUAUGUGAUGAGGCGUGCAUUGCUAUUAUAAUUUCAAGAGCAUCGCUGAUAUUUGUUGGUUUUCUAGCUACUUAUUUGUUCAGAAAACACUUUACAAACAUGUUUAUGUCCAUGUAACUGGAUUUGAAAUACAUGCAAUAUUCUGAACAAUCUCUAAUGAAUUAAGCAAAAAUCUGUAUUGAUAUGGUUUUAAAGCCAACUGUCUUUUACAGUAGUUUUGUUACUAUUUUUCUGCUCCUUACACAAAACUUAACAUGCUAUAAAAAUUAAAAAUUUAUUUGAGGGUAAGACCCAUGUUGAGAAAAUAGUAAACUAAGGAUGGCAUCUGAUAAGAUUAGAAGCAUUGUUUUUAAUAGCCAGAUUUAUGUAUUGAACUCUGUUUAAUUACUGAAUUUACACACUAUGUUCUUGGAAUUCAAGGAGAAAAAUGCCCAUCAGUUUAAAAACCUGUUACAGUUCAUGCUAAGCCAAUAUUUGAUGUGGCAAAUGUUUAAUUUUAACGCCAAGAGGAAGCUAGCAUCGUAUUACAUACAAAGUCCUUUUUGCUAGAGUGACAGAAUGUUCUGAGUAAAAUCUAUGAAGUAAGAUGUUUCUUUAGAAAGGCAGUUCUUAGAAGUAUUGAUGUUUGUGAAGUAGUACAACUUGAUAUCUAGUUAUGCAUUCAUUGUUCCUCAUUCAAAAUAAGAUUGUUCAGAUUAUUACUUGGUUCCUAACUCCAUCUAAACCUUGUGUCCAUUUGUAAACUUUUGCUGUUGUAUUCUUUACAUUGUACUGUUACUGAUGCAUAGAAUAUUUCCUAUCCUGUAAGUGUUCUGUAGUUUUAAUAAUAAAUUUUCUUGUAUUUUAAACCUACUGAAGCCUUUUUAUUCAACACAGAUUUCACUCUUCUAUAUCAAAUCUUUAAUUAUUUCACUUUCUUUAAAAAGCA
rnacentral:lncRNA from 1 species